rnacentral:tRNA from 1 species
GAGGAUAUGGCUCAGUGGUAGAGCACAUGCUUAGCAUGCACAAGGUCUUGGGUUCAACCCCCCAGGACCUCC